rnacentral:rRNA from 1 species
ACGGAGGGGGCUAGCGUUAUUCGGAAUCAUUGGGCGCAAAGGGCGCGUAGGCGGCGCGGUAAGUCAAAGGUGAAAUCCCUCGGCUCAACUGAGGAACUGCCUUUGAAACUGCCGUGCUUGAGUCCGGGAGGGGGUAGCGGAAUUCCCAGUGUAGCGGUGAAAUGCGUAGAUAUUGGGAGGAACACCAGUGGCGAAGGCGGCUACCUGGACCGGUACUGACGCUGAUGCGCGAAAGCGUGGGGAGCAAACAGGAU